rnacentral:rRNA from 1 species
CGUCACGCAUCAGACCUCUA